UACAGAGGGUGCGAACGUUGUUCGGAAUUACUGGGCAUAAAGAGCACGUAGGCGGCACCGCAAGUGUGGGGUGAAAUCCCACGGCUUACCCGUGGAACUGCCUGGCAGACUGCGGUGCUAGAGGUUGGUAGGGGAGAGCGGAACUCUUGGUGGAGCGGUGAAAUGCGUAGAUAUCAAGAGGAACACCGGUGGCGAAGGCGGCCUUCUGGACAGUGACUGACGCUGAGACGCGAAAGCGUGGGGAGCAAACAGG
rnacentral:rRNA from 1 species